UAUUUCCAUGUGAAUGUCCCAGAGAAGAACAAACCAGGGAAGAGAGGCGGGUGGAAAAGAGGAGAGAGGAACAUGAUUAUCUCACAACAGAGCAAUGUUAUGGUUUCCAUGAGGAUCCUGUUACAUUUCCAAAGAAGGCAAUUGGAUUAAUUUCUUGUAUGUUCUACAGGACCCAUAAAAGGUGUCCAAAGACCCGAAAGAUAUUGACAAACUGGAGAGAAUCCAGAAAAGAGCAACAGAGAUGAGUAGAUAAAUGUGAUUUAUGG